rnacentral:ncRNA from 17 species
CAACUAAGUGCGAAAGGAAUGAUGGGUGGACGAUGGAUAACUGAUCUUAUUUUUUCUUGAUUGAAAUAGCAUAUUUCAAUUCACACAAAAAAUAGGAUUAGUCUGCCCAUUUUUCACUUAUACAUCAUUCAGCCAUUAUGAUAAUGGUUUAUUUGCUGAUGCAAAGGUACGGCUAAUCCUUCCAAUUCAAUUGGGAGGAUUUUUUU